GCGAGGUUUAGCAAAUCUCUUAAAGCCGUUCUCAGUUCGGAUUGUAGGCUGCAACUCGCCUACAUGAAGUCGGAAUCGCUAGUAAUCGCGGAUCAGCAUGCCGCGGUGAAUACGUUCCCGGGCCUUGUACACACCGCCCGUCACACCAUGAGAGUUUGUAACACCCAAAGCCGGUGGGGUAACCUUUUGGAGCCAGCCGUCUAAGGUGGGACAGAUGAUUAGGGUGAAGUCGUAACAAGGUAUC
rnacentral:rRNA from 1 species